rnacentral:snoRNA from 1 species
AGGCAGAUGAUGGACACAGUCAUUCAGGGUGUCCAGAAUUGUUAAUGUGGCUAAAUUGAAGCAUGAGAUAUGCUUCCAUCCCAGUAAAUCCAUUGCGGUGGUGAAAAUGACACCUCUAACAUAU